rnacentral:tmRNA from 1 species
GGGGGUGUACUGGAUUUCGACGGUAUGUGAGAAGCGCGAGCAGCAUGUCGAGGAUUAUCGGUUGGCCUCGUUAAUCAUCCGAUAAAACUAAUAAUUGCCGAAGAUUAUUCUUUUGCAAUGGCUGCCUAAUAAGCGCAGCCGGUCUGAUACGCGAUCGCACCCGUAGUGUAUCGGGCCCCGAUCAGGGUGCUGGUUUAAGCGGGAUGCAUCGACCGUUUUGACGAGAUCAAUUGAUGCUGGCUGUUUCCUGAGCCUGUCUGCCGGCGCUGGAGAUAGCGAGAACAAACGACAGACUAAGCAUGUAGCGGCUUUCGCGGACCGCUUAUCGGACAGGGGUUCGACUCCCCUCACCUCCAGAC